AUUGAACGCUGGCGGCAUGCCUUACACAUGCAAGUCGAACAGUAACAGGUUAAGCUGACGAGUGGCGAACGGGUGAGUAAUAUAUCGGAACGUGCCCAGUCGUGGGGAUAACGCAGCGAAAGCUGUGCUAAUACCGCAUACGAUCUACGGAUGAAAGCGGGGGAUCGCAAGACCUCGCGCGAUUGGAGCGGCCGAUAUCAGAUUAGCUAGUUGGUGGGGUAAAAGCCCACCAAGGCGACGAUCUGUAGCUGGUCUGAGAGGACGACCAGCCACACUGGAACUGAGACACGGUCCAGACUCCUACGGGAGGCAGCAGUGGGGAAUUUUGGACAAUGGGCGCAAGCCUGAUCCAGCAAUGCCGCGUGCAGGAUGAAGGCC
rnacentral:rRNA from 1 species